ACGCGACGGGGUAUUGUAA
rnacentral:snRNA from 1 species